GCACAAAAGAGUACACACUGUAUGACUUCAUUUAUAUAAAGUUCAAGAAAUAGGCAACAUUUUUUAUACCACAUUUAAAUUUUAUUGGAAUAUGGUUGACUUCCAAAGUUGUAUUUAUUUCAGGUAUACAGCGAUGUGUAUCAGUUGCACAUAUACACGUAUCUGUGCCUUUUCAGAUUCUUUUCCCAUAUAGGUUAUUACACAGUAUUGAGUCAGUUUCUCUGUGCUAUGCAGUAGGUCCUUGUUACCCAUCUAUUUUAUAUAUAGUGGUGUGUAUAUAUCAGUCCCAACCCCUCUAUGUUUCCCCUUUGGUAAACAUAAGUUUGGUUUAAAAAUUUUUGAGUCUGUGUUUUGGAAGUCCUAUUAUAUCAUUUUUCUUAGAUUCCACAUAUGAGUGAUCGCCUGCGAUGUUUGUCUUCCCCAUCUGACUUCACUUAGUAUGAUAGUUUCUGGGUCCAUCCAUGUUGCUGCAAUUGGCAUUAAGAAAUCUGGUGAGGUACUGAUUGGUAGGGGGUCCAAAAGGGACUUCUGGGGAUUUCUUGACUUCAAUAGUAGUUAUUUGAUUAUGUUGUAUUUUUUAUGAUUUUUAUUUUUUAUUGUAGUUGAUUUACAGUGUUCCAUCAAUUUCUAUUGUACAGCACAGCGACCCAGUCAUACAUACAUGCAUACAUUCUUUUUCUCUCAUUAUCCUCCAUCGUGUUCCAUCACAAGUGACUAGACAUAGUUCCCUGGGCUAUACAGCAGGAUCUCAUUGCUUAUCCUAUAUGUUGCAGUUGAACAAGGGAAGUUUAAUGAAUGUAAGAAAGAAGAUAUCAAAGUUGAAACUAAAUGGUUUCUUUAAAAAAAAAAUCUUGGUGUAACUGUCUUUCUGGGUUUAUCUAUCUUAUAGAAAAGCAAUUACUUAAUCUGACUUGUAAUCUUAAUUAAAAUUUUAGAAAAUAUAUAAAACGCAAGUGAUUUGGUCCUGCAGUUCACUUCAUUGCUCUAGUUCUUAACUAAGGGGGUUUUAAUCAUCUGGUGUAAGCUCUCUAACUUUAGAGUGGCAGCUAUUGAAAUUCUGGACACUAGUGGAGGGAAAACUAACCUUUAGGAAGCAUUUGUGUGAAUCCAUUUGAUUCUGGAGAUACCAUGGCCAUGCGCGGUCUGGAUGUUGAAAGAUACAAGGCAUUCAACAUAAGUAAGCAGUUAUUUUAUUUUAUUUUAUUUUUUAGGGCCACAUCUGUGGCAUAUGGAAGUUCCAGGCUAGGGGUCAAAUCCAAGCUAUAGUUGCUGGCCUAUGCCACAGCCUCAGCAACUCGGGAUCCAAGCCGAGUACCACAGCUCACAGCAACACCGGAUCUUCAACCCGUGGAGUGAGACCAAGGAUUGAACCUGCAUCCUCAUGGAUCUUAGUCGGGUUCAUUAACCACUGAGCCACAAAGGCACCUCCUUAAGUAAGUGGUUAUAUUCUCUACUCAAGCUGUGACUGAACUCUGGGCAUGGUGUUCUGGUCAUUGGAAUUGGAAAAUUUUGGUCCAAAGAUUGGGUCUUGUGAUGCUUUGACGUGGACAUUUGCUGAAUUUUCCCUCCUAAUCUCCACUCCUGCUGGUUUUACUCAGUGGGGUUCACACUUGACUUCUCUGAGUCCUCAUGCUUUGGUAAAGCUUUUCCCAGUGAGGAGCAUGUGACCGCAUCUAAGCCAAUCAGUGUACUCCAUCCCUCUGGCUACAGUGAUUGGUUCUGGCAUGAGCACAUGACCUAAGUCAAUCUGGGCCAAUCACUUUCAUUUCUGAGUUUGGCUUUGGACUCAUCUUCUGCAGGCCCAUGUGUUAAGAUCUGAGCCUUAGGCUGCCAGGGUGCCCCACUGAGCUGAGGGAGAAGGUUACCUUAGGAAGCAGAGGUGGAGGUUGGGAGUGGGAGGUCUCUGACUCAUUUCUCCUCCAAGCCAGCUUACCCUUUGGACUUUUCAUAAGCGCCAAGUCAUUUCAAGUCUAUUUAGGCUGGAUUUUUUUUUUUUUUUUUUUUACUGGUUACCAAAAGUGUCCUGAUUGCUAUGCCCACCUAUUCUCUGCCUCACCUGUACCUCUGGAUCAGUUUUGUCCCAAGAAUGAUGGCAGUAAUUCUCACGGCCACCCUAUCAUGGCUUUUGAGAAAAACUGUAAGCUCAAGUGCUUAGAAAAUGUCUUUGGCCUGAAGGCAACAACGACGACGGUGAUAACAAUACUGGCAAAACCCCAGGCUUUUCCAAACUUCUCAGCAGUUGCAUGGCAAGUUCACACCAUCUUCUGUUGGCAAGAUGUGGCAAAUAUUGCAGCUCAGCGGUAAGAGUGAGAAACCCAUGUCCCGAGCAGUUGGGUGGCUCUUCUUAGCAGGCUUAGCUCUAUUUAAACCUCACAAACUUUGCUCUGUGUGUGUGUGUGUGUGUGUGUGUGUGUGUGCGCGCGUGCGUGCGUGUGUCUAUGGGCACGUGUGGGAGGGUUUGGACUCUCUUCCUCUUUUGUUAUGAGGGAGAACAGGGAGCAGAUUGGAACAGGUUGUAACACUUCCGCAUGCCCGUGUCCCGGUGCUGAUUUCAUAGUGCCGUCUGCCAAUUGGAGUCUGGAUCCCAUGCCUCUUUGAUUUAUGUAUUUAUUGUAAAGCAG
rnacentral:lncRNA from 1 species